rnacentral:rRNA from 1 species
AGGAGUUUGAUCCUGGCUCAGAGCGAACGCUGGCGGCAGGCCUAACACAUGCAAGUCGAACGAACUCUUCGGAGUUAGUGGCGGACGGGUGAGUAACACGUGGGAACGUGCCUUUAGGUUCGGAAUAACUCAGGGAAACUUGUGCUAAUACCGAAUGUGCCCUUCGGGGGAAAGAUUUAUCGCCUUUAGAGCGGCCCGCGUCUGAUUAGCUAGUUGGUGAGGUAAAGGCUCACCAAGGCGACGAUCAGUAGCUGGUCUGAGAGGAUGAUCAGCCACAUUGGGACUGAGACACGGCCCAAACUCCUACGGGAGGCGGCAGUGGGGAAUCUUGCGCAAUGGGCGAAAGCCUGACGCAGCCAUGCCGCGUGAAUGAUGAAGGUCUUAGGAUUGUAAAAUUCUUUCACCGGGGACGAUAAUGACGGUACCCGGAGAAGAAGCCCCGGCUAACUUCGUG